CCUACGGGAGGCAGCAGUGAGGAAUAUUGGUCAAUGGGCGCGAGCCUGAACCAGCAAAGUCGCGUGAGUGAAGACGGUCCUAUGGAUUGUAAACCUCUUUUGUCGGGGAGCAAAAGACGCCACGCGUGGCGUUCCGAGUGUACCCGAAGAAAAAGCAUCGGCUCACUCCGUUCCAGCCGCCGCGGUACUACGGGGGAUGCGAGCGUUAUCCGGAUUUAUUGGGUUUAAAGGGUGCGCAGGCGGAAGAUCAAGUCAGCGGUAAAAUUGAGAGGCUCAACCUCUUCGAGCCGUUGAAACUGGUGUACUUGAGUGAGCGAGAAGUAUGCGGAAUGCGUGGUGUAGCGGUGAAAUGAGUAGAUAUCACGCAGAACUCCGAUUGCGAAGGCAGCAUACCGGCGCUCAACUGACGCUCAUGCACGAAAGUGUGGGUAUCGAACAGGAUUAGAUACCCGAGUAGUC
rnacentral:rRNA from 1 species